rnacentral:lncRNA from 1 species
GUUUCAUCUUGCAGGGCUGGGGUAAGAUGAGUUAACUUUGUUAAACAUAUUGGUGUGUCAUAAAUAUGUAUGCCGCCUUAGAAACCAUCAGCUGCCCGAGUCAUAUUGAGUCAUACAUCUGGAACACAGCUGAAGGGGUUAACUAGAAACAGCUGUUUCUAAUCGUGCUUGCGUUUGCUUCCCUACGAAAGGGCAAAGGGAAAGAUAGAAUCCAAAAGACAGAAAAAGGAGCCUUGCAGGGAGAUGGGAAGUCUCCAGCAGCCAAGCUGAUGUGAGGAGAGUCUGGACUCUGAGAAUCAGGAAAGAAUCCUGAUGAAUACCUUAAAAUGGGCUGAAGUUAAAGACAAAUGUAGCAUUAAGAUAGAACACACUCAGUUUAAAUAUACGGCAUGGCCAGUUAUGCAAGUCAAGCUCUCUCUCUCUGAACUGGAGCUCACCAGUUUAGCUAUGCUGCCUUGCUAGUGAACACCAGGGAUCCACGGGUCUCCAUCCAAACACUGGGCUACAAG